GAUGAACGCUAGCUACAGGCUUAACACAUGCAAGUCGAGGGGAAACGAUGAGAGAGCUUGCUCUCUUAGUCGUCGACCGGCGCACGGGUGAGUAACGCGUAUCCAACCUGCCUCUGACCAAGGGAUAACCCGUCGAAAGUCGGACUAAUACCUUAUGCAGUCGUCGGAAGUCAUCUGAUGACGACGAAAGAUUUCAUCGGUGAGAGAUGGGGAUGCGUCUGAUUAGCUUGUUGGCGGGGUAACGGCCCACCAAGGCGACGAUCAGUAGGGGUUCUGAGAGGCAGGUCCCCCACAUUGGAACUGAGACACGGUCCAAACUCCUACGGGAGGCAGCAGUGAGGAAUAUUGGUCAAUGGGCGUAAGCCUGAACCAGCCAAGUAGCGUGCAGGAUGACGGCCCUAUGGGUUGUAAACUGCUUUUAUGCGGGGAUAAAGUGAGGGACGUGUCCUUCAUUGCAGGUACCGCAUGAAUAAGGACCGGCUAAUUCCGUG
rnacentral:rRNA from 1 species